UGUUUGUUUUGUGAUUAUAACAUCCUAAUAUUCUUUGAUUAUACGGUUCCUCACUUAAUACUUCCUUCUGUUCUUCUUCCAUUCUUCCAGUGGUAAAUCACGGCAUUAUUUUCAGAGCUCUGGAGCUCCAGAGCUAUCCUGUAGGUAUCCACUGUUAGCAAUAUGUUUUCCUUCUCUCUUUCGAAGUGCCCCAAUUCAUGAACAGAUGGGAAGUUUCUAGAAGACAUCUUUGGCAGUUCUCAGAAAAGAGAUUGCCAGCAGUACAAUUUCUCCCAAGACCCUACUGAUACUGUCUCAUCUCCUUUGAACAUGCUUGUGCAUGUUCACCAUCUUCCCUUCAAAACAACACAAUACUUACUCCUCCUGCACAGAAACCUUCAAGAUGGAGAAACAUCAUUUAUGAAGAGCUUUUUUCCACAUCUAGAUAUUCCUGUGGUGGCAAGUAUCCAAAAUGAGAGCCAAGGCAUUGUGGCUUAGCAUCUGCUCCUCCUUCUCUUUCUGCUGCCAUCACCUGGGGCAAAAAUAAAACCUGACUCAGAUAUUGAGGGUAAUGAAGUGGAAGAUUGAGCAAAGCAGAGGUUGUGUGGUGAGCCUCAAACAGGAAAAGACAAAAAUAUAAAGAGAGAGGUAACUGUACUGCAGGAUGCCUAGGGCAUAGGAUUGUUAUUUGAAAGAGUGAGAUGGGGAAGAUACAAGUGAUGAAGAACAUUUGGAAGUUAAACAAAAUGCUCUGACAGUUUGUCACUGUCAAAGUCUGGACCUUCUGUAAAAAAAUAUUCAGAGAAAAUAAGGAAUACUUUUGUGAGCUAACAGUGGGCAAAAUCCUUCACCAGAUGUACAUAGAAGGAGCACUGAUCCCCAAGUUGAGGGUACUCAAAAUCCUGAGCAUAAGGGACUGUAACAAUCCCAUCGGAACACAAGAUACACAGGCAAAAUGUUUCAGUCGCUUAGUUUUAGGGGUAAUAUUCAACAGCAGGUAGUUAUAGAGUUUGCCACACCAAGAGAUAUUCUGUAGAUCUUUAACUUGGUCUAAGUUUUAUGCUCUGUUGUUCUCCAACUCUAGGUGGUAAGCAGACAAAAGGCACAGCUCCUCAGCUGUCAGGGCUGAAUUCCUGUGUGUGUGCUCACACACACUGCCAUCAUCAGUACUACAGAAGUUCACGUACCUUGAAGGUUUUGGAGAAAUUCAAUAUGUUUUGGAGACUAAAUCUCUUCUAAUGCAUUUGUAAACUUUUCUGGAUGGAAGAGAAGUAAUUUUGUAUAACCACAGAGGAGAAACAACAGAUUGCUCACUGAAACUGCGUUUCAGGCUGUUGGGAACAUAACAGAGACCAGGCUUGCUGUGUGGAUACUGAUGUUGCAAACAUCCCUGCAAUGGUGUCUUCAGCUAGAUGGACUAAGACUCCCCAGACCUGUUCUGGUGAAUACUUGCAAUCCAAUUGGCAUGUGGACCUAUGUCAUGCUACAGUGUCUGCACAUCAGUUAUGUUAUCUUAAACUACAUAGGCAUUACAUCUUACAUAUUAAACACAACUAUGAACAAAAGGCAGUCCUAUGUCUUUCAUAGGCUGCAACAGUUUCUGUUGACAAUUUAGAAUGAUGCAUGGUUUGCUCAGUUCCUUGAUCUUCCCCCAUGAACUGCUCAAGGAAAUCCCUAGUAGUGCACUAGAUCCUUCACACCAGGUGUUAGGCAAUAUAUCUAAACAUCUAGACAGCAUCUGUUCAUUUUCACACAGUGUGGUGGUCAUCUGUAAUCACUUAUCUUCAGUUAAUAUUGGUGCUCUUGUGUAUUUAAUGAUGCUUUUCCUUUAGAACAAAAAAAAUGCUUUCUGCACACCUGCAGAAAGCUUUCUGCAUUUACAGAACCUUAAGAUUGUGAAGUGUUAGAAAGUUGACAUAAAAUAGCAAAUUCCUCUCUUCCCACCUACCUCACCCAAGUAAUAAAACAGUGAAGAAAGAUGUAAGGAUUUCCUUUAUUUGUUUGUCCUUGUUUAACAUGAAUGGUAUUUUCAUAAAAUAAAAAUAAAAAACAGCCUUCAUUAAAUA